CCUACGGGGGGCAGCAGUGGGGAAUAUUGCACAAUGGGGGAAACCCUGAUGCAGCCAUGCCGCGUGUGUGAAGAAGGCCUUCGGGUUGUAAAGCACUUUCAGUGGGGAGGAAGGGAUGAUGUCUAAUACGCAUUGUCAUUGACGUUACCCACAGAAGAAGCACCGGCUAACUCCGUGCCAGCAGCCGCGGUAAUACGGAGGGUGCAAGCGUUAAUCGGAAUAACUGGGCGGAUCGCAUAAGUCAGAGGUGAAAUCCCCGGGCUCAACCUGGGAACUGCAUUUGAAACUGUCUGACUAGAGUCUUGUAGAGGGGGGUAGAAUUCCAGGUGUAGCGGUGAAAUGCGUAGAGAUCUGGAGGAAUACCGGUGGCGAAGGCGGCCCCCUGGACAAAGACUGACGCUCAGGUGCGAAAGCGUGGGGAGCAAACAGGAUUAGAUACCCUAGUAGUC
rnacentral:rRNA from 1 species